CACUGGUAUAAACAGCUGAGGUAACACUGGUUUAAACAGCUGAGGUAACACUGGUUUAAACAGCUGAGGUAAAACUGGUAUAAACAGCUGAGGUAACACUGGUAUAAACAGCCGAGGUAACACUGGUAUAAACAGCUGAGGUGAAACUGGUUUAAACAGCUGAGGUAACACUGGUAUAAACAGC